rnacentral:rRNA from 1 species
UGGGGAAUUUUGCACAAUGGGGGAAACCCUGAUGCAGCGGCGCCGCGUGAUUUAGAAGGCCUUCGGGUUGUAAAAAUCUUUUGUAUGGGAAGAAAAUGACAGUACCAUACGAAUAAGGACCGGCUAAUUACGUGCCAGCAGCCGCGGUAAUACGUAAGGUCCGAGCGUUGUCCGGAAUCAUUGGGCGUAAAGGGUACGUAGGCGGAUAAGCAAGUUAGAAGUGAAAUCCUAUAGCUCAACUAUAGUAAGCUUUUAAAACUGCUCAUCUUGAGGUAUGGAAGGGAAAGUGGAAUUCCUAGUGUAGCGGUGAAAUGCGCAGAUAUUAGGAAGAAUACCGGUGGCGAAGGCGACUUUCUGGCCAUAUACUGACGCUGAGGUACGAAAGCGUGGGUAGCAAACAGG